rnacentral:rRNA from 1 species
UACGAAGGGGGCUAGCGUUGCUCGGAAUUACUGGGCGUAAAGCGCACGUAGGCGGAUUGUUAAGUCAGGGGUGAAAUCCCGGGGCUCAACCUCGGAACUGCCUUUGAUACUGCAAGUCUCGAGUCCGAUAGAGGUGAGUGGAAUUCCUAGUGUAGAGGUGAAAUUCGUAGAUAUUAGGAAGAACACCAGUGGCGAAGGCGGCUCACUGGAUCGGUACUGACGCUGAGGUGCGAAAGCGUGGGGAGCAAACAGG